rnacentral:misc_RNA from 1 species
AAAAAAAAAAAUAGCCGGCCCAACUCUUUCCAACAUAAGAGGAAACAAAAACUUGUGAGUCAUUUGCAAUUGACUAAUACUAGACUUUGCAGUAGUUUAUCCAAGAAGAGGGUGAUACUGGUUAUUUAUGAUAGGUUGAAAAUAAAAAAUUCAUACAUGAAUGAUGCAAUUAGGGAAAAACAUAUUUAAGGAUUAUUUUGAUUUAAAUCUUAAUUAUAAAAUUUAUAUGUUUCUUGCAAAAUAUUUGUUUGUGAAAUUUAGAGUUUUAAUUUGGCUUUGGAAUAUUUUUAUUUAAUUAUGGAUUUCCUAAUUUGAAAUGUUUUCCUUCCUAUUAAGUGUUGGUUUAAAAUCUUCCUAAUUUGGGAUUCCUAUUCCUAGUAGGUGUAGGAUUAAUUUGUUGAAGUCUCUAUGUACUGGUUUCUCUUUUUAUAAUGGAAUUAUAAGUAUUCAAUUCAAAACACUUGAUGCCCAUUCUGUCUCUCUCUA